AAGGAUCAUUAUUGAAUAAACCUGAUGUGACUGUUAGCUGGCUUUUCGAAGCAUGUGCUCGUCCAUCAUCUUUAUCUCUCCACCUGUGCACAUUUUGUAGUCUUGGAUACCUCUCGAGGAAACUCGGAUUUUAGGAUCGCCGUGCUGUACAAGUCGGCUUUUCUUUCAUUUCCAAGACUAUGUUUUUAUAUACACCAAAGUAUGUUUAUAGAAUGUCAUCAAUGGGAAUUUGUUUCCUAUAAAAUUAUACAACUUUCAGCAACGGAUCUCUUGGCUCUCGCAUCGAUGAAGAACGCAGCGAAAUGCGAUAAGUAAUGUGAAUUGCAGAAUUCAGUGAAUCAUCGAAUCUUUGAACGCACCUUGCGCUCCUUGGUAUUCCGAGGAGCAUGCCUGUUUGAGUGUCAUUAAAUUCUCAACCUUCCAACUUUUAUUAGCUUGGUUAGGCUUGGAUGUGGGGGUUUGCGGGCUUCAUCACUGAGGUCGGCUCUCCUUAAAUGCAUUAGCGGAACUUUUGUCGACCGUCUAUUGGUGUGAUAAUUAUCUACGCCGUGGAUGUGAAGCAGCUUUAUGAAGUUCUGCUUCUAACCGUCCAUUGACUUGGACAAUUUUGACAAUUUGACCUCAAAUCAGGUAGGACUACCCGCUGAACUUAA
rnacentral:rRNA from 1 species